GGAACUGUCAGUGCUUAGACAACUCUUGGAGGUGGACUAAAUGCACUGUGCAUAGAGACGGACAUGGAUUCUCUGCGGGCCAGCACGGCGUGUUGUGGUUUGGAUCUGGAACGCCCCCCAAAAGCCUGGUGUGCUCGUAGGCAGGGCAUGUGGAAGGAUCAACAUCAUCAAGGAAGAAGCCAAAAAAGGGGAAAUUAGACCCAAGGCAGAGCGAGAGUGGCCCCUGACUCCAUCUGCUGCACCCCGCAAACCAGUUCACAGGGACGAAUAAGUAACACAAGGCCACAUCCAGCUUCCUGUGGAGCCGUGGACACCCUGCCUGUGUCCAUCAGAUUCACCGUCAGACAGAACGAGUCCCCUCGCACUGUUGACCUCGACCUCCUCAUCUGGCAAAGGAUUGUAAGACUGCCUCUUCCUGAGGGUGGCGGCAGAGGGGAUGACACGACUCCACUACGGCGGGAGGCCCUGGCGCCUGCAGCUUAAGACGGAGAACUGCGUCCAACUGUCUGAUCUCUGACAAAGGGGCCAACACACCCUGGAGAAAGGCAGCCUCUAGCACAUGCUGCUGGGAACUGGCUAUCCCCCCCGCAGAGGACAGAGCCUGGACUCAUCCACCAGGCACCGAACCAAAAUCAAAAUGGAUUGAAGAACUAAGUGUUAAAACAAAAACACCUAAGCACUGGAAGACAAGAUAGGCAACACUCUGGAAGUCACCAGUGUAGGCACGGACUUUCUGAACAGAACCCUGGAUGCACAGGAAAUAGUUUCAACAAUCAACAGAUGGGAUCAUAGCAAAUCAAAUAGCCUCUGCACAGCAAAAGAAAACUUUCUGCACAAUCAAUAGAGUCAAAAAGAAAACCUGCAUAAUGGGAAAGUUUUGCUGGCUAUUCCUCUGGUAGAGGAAUAUGUAAUAUCUAGAAUAGAUGAAAAAUCUAAACAAUCAGACCAUCCCCAAAAUAAGACUCAGUCAAAACAUAGGUGAAUGAAAUGAACAGACAUUUAAUGAGGAAGUACAAAUGGCCCAAAAAUACAUUAAAAAGUUAAACAU